AAUGAACGCUGGCGGCGCGCCUAAUACAUGCAAGUCGAGCGAGAAGACGUAGCAAUACGUUUGUAAAGCGGCGAACGGGUGAGGAAUACAUGGGUAACCUACCCUAGAGUGGGGAAUAACUAGCCGAAAGGUUAGCUAAUACCGCGUACGCUCCUUGGACUUCGGUUCAGGGAGGAAAGCGAUACCGAGGGUAUCGCGCUCUUGGAUGGGCUCAUGUCCUAUCAGCUUGUUGGUGAGGUAACGGCUCACCAAGGCUUCGACGGGUAGCUGGUCUGAGAGGACGAUCAGCCACACUGGCACUGCGACACGGGCCAGACUCCGUACGGGNGGCAGCAGUAAGGAAUAUUGCGCAAUGGGCGAAAGCCUGACGCAGCGACGCCGC
rnacentral:rRNA from 1 species